ACGCUGGCGGCGUGCCUAAUACAUGCCAGUCGAGCGAACAGACGAGGAGCUUGCUCCUCUGACGUUAGCGGCGGACGGGUGAGUAACACGUGGAUAACCUACCUAUAAGACUGGGAUAACUUCGGGAAACCGGAGCUAAUACCGGAUAAUAUAUUGAACCGCAUGGUUCAAUAGUGAAAGACGGUUUUGCUGUCACUUAUAGAUGGAUCCGCGCCGCAUUAGCUAGUUGGUAAGGUAACGGCUUACCAAGGCAACGAUGCGUAGCCGACCUGAGAGGGUGAUCGGCCACACUGGAACUGAGACACGGUCCAGACUCCUACGGGAGGCAGCAGUAGGGAACCUUCCGCAAUGGGCGAAAGCCUGACGGAGCAACGCCGCGUGAGUGAUGAAGGUCUUCGGAUCGUAAAACUCUGUUAUUAGGGAAGAACAAAUGUGUAAGUAACUAUGCACGUCUUGACGGUACCUAAUCAGAAAGCCACGGCUAACUACGUG
rnacentral:rRNA from 1 species